GGAAGGGAAUCUGACAGUAUUUCCGGGUCAAGAAGCAGUAUACAGCACUGGUGUACACAGGUUUCCACGUGAGUCUUCAAAACGGCUUUUCAUGACGAAGUGGUUUUCGUGUCUGAGAAGACCGGAAGAUACAACACCGCUGAGAAGAUCUUUAUUGAUCAGGCUCAACGUCUGGCCCUACAGAGGGAGAUAGACAAGGAAUCCCAGCCCACGGUAUCAGUCAGAUCACUGAUGGUCCGAGCCGACACUGGCAACAAGAUGGUUACCAUGAAGAAGAAGAACAAGAACAGUGGGAAGGACACCCACACUGAGGAAGAGAUCUCAGAAAACACUUCCGUAAACCUGGGGAAUAACGAAGGAGUGAAGAGGA